AGCUCUCCGAGUGGUAGGGAUGAUUAUUGGGCUUAAAGCGUCCGUAGCCGGCCUCUCAAGUCUUUCGUUAAAUCCAGCGACUAAUCGUUGGACUGCGGGAGAUACUGUUAGGCUAGGGGGCGGGAGAAGCCGACGGUAUUCUUGGGGUAGGGGUAAAAUCCUAUAAUCCCAGGAAGACCACCAGUGGCGUAGGCGGUCGGCUAGCACGCGCUCGACGGUGAGGGACGAAAGCUGGGGGAGCGAACC
rnacentral:rRNA from 1 species